rnacentral:rRNA from 1 species
UACGAAGGGUGCAAGCGUUGCUCGGAAUUAUUGGGCGUAAAGGGUAGGUAGGUGGUAAUAAAAGUCUGGGGUGAAAUCCCUGAGCUCAACUCAGGACGUGCCUUGGAAACUUUAUUACUAGAGUGCUGGAGAGGUCUGCAGAAUUCCCGGUGUAGCGGUGAAAUGCGUAGAGAUCGGGAGGAAUACCAGAGGCGAAGGCGGCAGACUGGACAGUCACUGACACUCAACUACGAAAAGCGUGGGUAGCAAACAGG